GACGAACGCUGGCGGCGUGCCUAAUACAUGCAAGUCGAGCGGACGGAUGGGAGCUUGCUCCCAGACCGUCAGCGGCGGACGGGUGAGUAACACGUGGGCAACCUGCCUGUAAGACUGGGAUAACUCCGGGAAACCGGGGCUAAUACCGGAUAACUCUUUCCCUCACAUGAGGGAAAGCUGAAAGAUGGCAUCUCGCUAUCACUUACAGAUGGGCCCGCGGCGCAUUAGCUAGUUGGUGAGGUAACGGCUCACCAAGGCGACGAAGCGGAGCCGACCUGAGAGGGUGAGUGGCCACACUGGGACUGAGACACGGCCCAGACUCCUACGGGAGGCAGCAGUAGGGAAUCUUCCGGAAUGGACGGAAGUCUGACGGAGCAACGCCGCGUGAGUGAUGAAGGUAUUCGGAUCGUAAAACUCUGUUGUCAGGGAAGAACAGUUACCGGAGUAACUGCCGGUACCUUGACGGUACCUGACCAGAAAGCCACGGCUAACUACGUG
rnacentral:rRNA from 1 species